AAAUUAUUUUCUUAGGUUUGUCUAGAAAUGGAUGUAUCUAAAUACCAAAACAUGACUAGAUACAUUCAUAUGUAGACAAAUCUAAGACAAUAAUUUUGGGACGGAGGGAGUACUAG
rfam:Hordeum vulgare subsp. vulgare, WGS project CAJW01000000 data, contig: morex_contig_452416